AGAACCUUACCAAGGCUUGACAUGCACCGGACAGCCCCAGAGAUGGGGUCUUCUUCGGACUGGUGCACAGGUGGUGCAUGGUUGUCGUCAGCUCGUGUCGUGAGAUGUUGGGUUAAGUCCCGCAACGAGCGCAACCCUCGUUCCAUGUUGCCAGCGCGUUAUGGCGGGGACUCAUGGGAGACUGCCGGGGUCAACUCGGAGGAAGGUGGGGACGACGUCAAAUCAUCAUGCCCCUUAUGUCUUGGGCUUCACGCAUGCUACAAUGGCCGGUACAAAGGGUUGCGAUACUGUGAGGUGGAGCGAAUCCCAAAAAGCCGGUCUCAGUUCGGAUUGGGGUCUGCAACUCGACCCCAUGAAGUCGGAGUCGCUAGUAAUCGCAGAUCAGCAACGCUGCGGUGAAUACGUUCCCGGGUCUUGUACACACCGCCU
rnacentral:rRNA from 1 species